GGCGAACGGGUGAGUAAUACAUCGGAACGUGUCCUGGAGUGGGGGAUAGCCCGGCGAAAGCCGGAUUAAUACCGCAUACGCUCUAUGGAGGAAAGCGGGGGAUCUUCGGACCUCGCGCUCAAGGGGCGGCCGAUGGCAGAUUAGCUAGUUGGUGGGGUAAAGGCCUACCAAGGCGACGAUCUGUAGCUGGUCUGAGAGGACGACCAGCCACACUGAGACUGAGACACGGCCCAGACUCCUACGGGAGGCAGCAGUGGGGAAUUUUGGACAAUGGGCGCAAGCCUGAUCCAGCAAUGCCGCGUGUGUGAAGAAGGCCUUCGGGUUGUAAAGCACUUUUGUCCGGAAAGAAAACUUCGGAGCUAAUACCUCUGGAGGAUGACGGUACCGGAAGAAUAAAGCACCGGCUAACUACGUGCCAAGCCGCCGCGG
rnacentral:rRNA from 1 species